rnacentral:misc_RNA from 1 species
GUGUUUGGUUUGUUUGGGUCGGUUGGUUCCAUGCUCGUGCAUCGACAACCGGUCUUUCUUACCUCUUCAUUGUUGUUCCACGGGCAUCAUGCCAUGGACCAAGUCGGUUUCCUGUGUUGCAUACCUUCGUUGACGGAAUUUUCUUGUUUAAACGUCCCUAAUCUCACCUUGUGCUGCCCACGUGGCGCGAGGUAGACCAUAUAGUGCGUUUCGUUGUCCUCUCUUCUUCCGCACGGUCGGUUGAAGAAAGGGCCAGCGUUGCGUUGCUCGAAGUCUUGGAUGCGGAAUCAUAAGCGGGCAAAGGGGCCUUCGGUCUUUAGUUGCCCAAACCAAGCGUUCUCGCUUAUUGCGAACGACUGUUGUGCUCGUUUUGAGUUGAGGAUACUUUUGGUCCGAUGCUCAUGCGGUGCCGGCGUCGUAAAUGAAUG